UCUUUUCCUGGCAUGGAGAGCCAUUCUGAUAUGCUCCGGAGAGCCAUUAAUUCCCAACUGACACCAAUGACUGGAGGAUUCAAGGAGACUACUCAGCUACCGAAUGCAUGGGAUGAUGAGCUCCACAAUGUUGUCCAGAUGGGCUAUGUAACUUGUGCUCCACAAGAUAGCCAAGAUAUAAAUNGGAUCACUGCCACCAGGCCAUAUGAAAGCUGAACUUUAAUUAUUCACUUUGCUUUUAUGUGACAAAAGUAUGGUUGCACCACUAAUUUUGAGGAUAAAAAGUGUGCAAGACUAGAUUCUCUUCGAAGUAAGGAGGCCAAUAAAGAGAGAUGCUUUUAAGUCCAGCUUCAAAAGUUUUGAGGAUUUAGUUGCAUGUCCAGAGCAAAGAAGGUUUUGAGAGCUUAAUAGGG
rnacentral:misc_RNA from 1 species